rnacentral:rRNA from 1 species
UACGUAGGGGGCAAGCGUUGUCCGGAUUUAUUGGGCGUAAAGAGCGUGUAGGCGGUUCGGUAGGUCCGUUGUGAAAACUCGAGGCUCAACCUCGAGACGCCGAUGGAAACCCCCGAACUAGAGUCCGGAAGAGGCGAGUGGAAUUCCUGGUGUAGCGGUGAAAUGCGCAGAUAUCAGGAGGAACACCAAUGGCGAAGGCAGCUCGCUGGGACGGUACUGACGCUGAGACGCGAAAGCGUGGGGAGCAAACAGG